CACUGGAGGAGGAAAAGAAAGAUCAUAUAAAGAAAGCAGGGGACAUACUGAAUUGGGUGUCUAAAGUCACUAAAACGCUAAACAAAGAAGGAGGACAAGAAAGUGCAGAAAAGACACCCUUUUCUAAGCCACAGCAUUUUGUGCUUUGUGGACUGAAGUGGUCCUGAUGUAAAGAAGAGACCGAAGAAAGGAUCUUGAAUCUCUAAGAAAAAACCUAGAGUUGUGUUUCACUUGUACAUAACCCCAGUAAUAUUAUAGCCUACAGAAAAUACUCCCCAUGGGACCAAUACAGCAAUUAAGGACCUCUCAGAAAGUUAUUCAGUGAUCAUUUUGGAUAAUUCGUUCUGAUUACUUCACUCUCACACGUUUGCUCUUAUUUAACUAAAAACAUCAAACAAACAAAAAACUUUAUUCAUAUUACAAAAUGAUUAAAAAAAUAGUAGGGAAAAAAUAAAAUAUAAGAUUUUUUCUUA